rnacentral:rRNA from 1 species
UACAGAGGUCUCAAGCGUUGUUCGGAUUCAUUGGGCGUAAAGGGUGCGUAGGCGGCGCGGUAAGUCGGGUGUGAAAUCUCGGAGCUUAACUCCGAAACUGCAUUCGAUACUGCCGUGCUUGAGGACUGGAGAGGAGACUGGAAUUUACGGUGUAGCUGGUGAAAUGCGUAGAUAUCGUAAGGAAGACCAGUGGCGAAGGCGGGUCUCUGGACAGUUCCUGACGCUGAGGCACGAAGGCCAGGGGAGCAAACGGG